CGGGAUGUAGCGCAGCUUGGUAGCGCAUCCGUUUUGGGGGCGGAGGGCCGCAGGUUCAAAUCCUGUCAUCCCGA
rnacentral:tRNA from 1 species